rnacentral:rRNA from 1 species
GAUGAACGCUGGCGGCGUGCCUCAUACACGCAAGUCGAGCGAAGCGGGGACGGGUGACUAACACGUGGAUAACCUCCUAUAAGACUGGGAUAACUUCGGGACACCGGAGCUAUACCGGAUACUUAUAGAUGGAUAUGCGCUGCAUUGGCCAGGAGGGAAGUUAACGGCUUACCAAGGCAACGAUGCAUAGCCGACCUGAGGGGGUGAUGGGCCACACGGAAACUGAGACACGGUCCACGGUCCUACGGUAAGCAGCAAUAGGGAAUCUUCCGCAAUGGGCGAGAGCCUGACGGAAAGACGCCGCGUGAGUGAUGAAGGUCGUCAGAUCGUAAAACGCUGGUAUGAGGGAAGCGGUACCUAAUCAGAAAGCCGCGGCUAACUACGUGCCAGGAGCCGCGGUAAUUC